GACGAACGCUGGCGGCGCGCUUAACACAUGCAAGUCGAGCGAAGCGGCGGAAGGGUGAGUAAAACGUGAGUAACAUGCCUUAGACAUUGGGAUAGCCUCGGGAAACCGGGAUUAAUACCAAACGGUCUAAGAUGGACUCGCGACCCAUUAGCUAGUUGGUGGGUAACGGACCACCAAGGGGACGAUGGGUAGCCGGCCUGCUGGGAUGACCGGCCACCUUGGAACUGGUGAACGAUCCAAACUCUACGGUAGGCGGCAAUGGGGAAUGUUGCACUGUUGAGGGUACUCUGAUGCAGCGACGCGGCGUGAGUGAUGAAGGCUUUCAAGACGUGAAGUUCUUUUAUAUGGGAAGCGGUACCAUCAGAAAAAGCCCCGGCUAACUACGUGCCAGCCGCCGCGGUAAUUC
rnacentral:rRNA from 1 species